CAAUGUUGAUCGUGUUUAUGACGUCGAAAAUCGACGUCAUAAACACCAAAGUUGAUCGUGUUUAUGACGUCGAAUAUCGACGUCAUUAACACCAAAG